CCUACGGGAGGCAGCAGUGAGGAAUAUUGGUCAAUGGACGAGAGUCUGAACCAGCCAAGUCGCGUGAGGGAAGACUGCCCUAUGGGUUGUAAACUUCUUUUAUAAAGGAGUAAAACGAGGCACGUGUGCCUGUUUGCAUAGACUGUAUUGAUAAGGAACGGCUAACCACGGUCCAGCAGCCGCGGGAAUACGGAGGGUUGGAGCGUUAUCCGGGUUUAUUGGGUUUGAAGGGAGCGUAGGGGGGUUGGUAAGUUCGGUGUGAAAGUUUAGGGCUCAAACGUAGCAGUGCAGUUGAUACUGGCAGUCUUGAGUACAGAAGAGGUAGGCGGAAUGCGUGGUGUAGCGGUGAAAUGCGUAGAUAUCACGAAGAACACCGAUUGCGAAGGCAGCUUACUGGUCUGUGACUGACGCUGAGGCUCGAAAGCGUGGGUAUCAAACAGGAUUAGAUACCCCGGUAGUC
rnacentral:rRNA from 1 species